rnacentral:rRNA from 1 species
GAUGUUCAGAUAGCCAUGCAUGUCUAAGUAUAAAUGGGUAUACAGUGAAACAGCGAAUGGGCUCAUUAAAACAGUUAUAGUUUAUUUGGUAAUCGAAUUUACAUAGGAUAACCGUGGUAAUUCUAGAGCUAAUACAUGCUGUAAAGCCCGACUUUUCGGAAGGGCCGUAUUUAUUAGAUAACAGACCAAUAUUCCUCGUGUCUAUUGUGGUGAAUCAUAGUAACUAAUCGGAUCGCAUGGGCUAGUCCCGCGACAAACCAUUCAAGUUUCUGCCCCAUCAGCUUUCGAUGGUAGUGUAUUGGACUACCAUGGCUUUUACGGGUAACGGAGGAUUAGGGUUCGAUUCCGGAGAGGGAGCCUGAGAAACGGCUACCACAUCUAAGGAAGGCAGCAGGCGCGUAAAUUACCCAAUUCUAAUUCAGAGAGGUAGUGACAAGAAAUAACGGGUCGGGGCUAUGCCCCGGGACUGCAAUGAGAUGAAUUUACACCCCUUUUCGAGU